rnacentral:rRNA from 1 species
UACGAGGACCCCAAGCGUUAUCCGGAAUUACUGGGCGUAAAGCGUGAGCAUCCGGUUUUGCUAGUCUCAUGUUAAAUUUCACUGCUCAACGGUGAAACCGCGUGGGAAACGGCAAGACUAGAGUGGGUAAGAGGCAAGCGGAACGUGCAGUGUAGGGGUGAAAUCCAUUGAUAUUGCACGGAACACCAAAAGCGAAAGCAGCUUGCUAGUGCUCUACUGACGGUCAAUCACUAAAGCGUGGGGAUCAAAAAGG